GGGGGCUAGCGUUGUUCGGACUUACUGGGCGUAAAGCGCACGUAGGCGGCUUUGUAAGUUAGAGGUGAAAGCCCGGGGCUCAACUCCGGAAUUGCCUUUAAGACUGCAUCGCUAGAAUUGUGGAGAGGUAAGUGGAAUUCCGAGUGUAGAGGUGAAAUUCGUAGAUAUUCGGAAGAACACCAGUGGCGAAGGCGACUUACUGGACACAUAUUGACGCUGAGGUGCGAAAGCGUGGGGAGCAAACAGG
rnacentral:rRNA from 1 species